rnacentral:lncRNA from 1 species
GUGAAAGUCACAAACUCCACCAUCUGGGAGAAAGGGAAAGGCUCUGGCACAUCUCACUGGCCUUGAUUCUAUCAAAGCUUCUGGAGGCUGCAGAUUUUUCCCCACUGCAGACAUGUUUUGGCUGCAGCUGCUAGUGAUGAAAGAGGAGAGGUGGGUUUGGGAGGUGUUUUUGUUUUUGUUUUUUUUCAGAUCUCUUCAUAAUGUUAGCGUGAGUUGGAUAAUAGGAUCAAAUGCAGGAUAUCUUUAAGAAGGUGCAAGUUAAAAUUUAUUGUGGUUUUAUUUUGAAAGAUUUCUUCUUGGCAUCAUUACCAGAGAAGUUGCAAUCAUUAAUCAAAACAUUGAUAAGGAAAGAAUAUGUUACCGGAAGGAUGUCAUUAUUUGGUUUCUAAGGUUAAGUCUGCUUAGAGAAAAGUAAUGGAGUGAAAACAGGCUUGAAUCAUUAGAAAGCUGGCAGAGAACAUCUAUAGAAUUAUGUGACUUACUGCAGGUAUGUAAAAUUUCCAGGGAAAAACAUUUCAUUCUAUAGUGAGCAUCCCUUUACCCGUUCAUCAUCCAAAUAUUGAAGCUAGAGCUCCAUGUGGCCAAUCA